rnacentral:SRP_RNA from 1 species
CGGCAGGUCUUAGGCGGGGGGCUAGGGGUCCCCUGAGAGGCAGACGGCCUCGACCGUAAACCCCCUAUACGACGGGCCGAAAGCUGAGGUGAGGCGCAAAAGAUCAUCGGUCUCCUCCAGCCUCUCAAGCAGUGACUAUCCGUCCUCUGGGGCCGACGGUCACGGAGCGUCCUCUGUAAGGAGGACGUAACCGUGUUUGCCAAGCGAACCUGGCCAGGCCCGGGAGGGAGCAACCUAAGCUUGGACGUUCGGCGCUCAGAGGGGUGCGGGUACGAGUUAGAGGGUUGGAGGAGCCGGUGAAAACUAUGCGUCGAGCCUCAGUGACCUGCCG